AAGAGGCACUUUAGAGUGACCCUCCUGUGAAGAUCAACGGGCUGUGCCUUCGCACACAAGACGCCGAGAUGCGGUGUCUCCUGCCAGACCCACACGGUCUGAGCCCGGCGGAGCAAAGCGUGUGCGCCUCCUCCCCGGCAUCAAGGCCACCGGAAGUCCCGCCCUUCACCUCGGAGUUCCGAGGGUGGGCCGUCCCCUUCCCCCCACGUCAUGCCGCCCGCGCCCUCCCCCACUCCCUCCGGCCUGCCCCCCCUUCCCAGUACCCGGAUGUGGGAGGCCGCGGGCGGUGGCGGCCUCGCGCACAAUGAGCCCCGGCCGAGUUAGCUGAAGGGGAGAUUGCACAACACAGACAAGCGAAGCAGACUGGGGGAGGGGAACCUCUCAAGCGGCCAUGUGCUCAUUCGCUCCGUCACUCGGCGGCGUCUCCCCCGCCAUGAAACAAUCCGCAACCCGCCCGCCCCCGUCGAGAAAUGGCGUCGCCCUCCCAUACCUCAGGCCGCUCACCCCCGAAGGAAAGUGGACCUGCCCAUCCGCAGUUUGCCAAUUGCCCGGCUUGUGCGGCAAAAUGGACCCGCCCGCCCGGCGCCGGGUGGGCUCCUGGUGCCUCACGCGGUCGCUCCUCGGGGUUAAGCUCAGUCCUGGCCGUCAAGAAAACCAGCACCCUGAACGGCCUGUUUCUUCUUCCCCAACCCACAUUCCAAGAGCGACGUGAAGACCCAGACACCCCUGCUUGUCGCGAGUGGUACCGCCAGAAUCCUCCGGAACCCUCGCACGCGCCCUGCCCGACACAGGGAGACAACCAGACCAGCCGGCUCCGGGCCGCGCAGCCGCCUCUCCUCUUUCCCACGCUAGGUCGCGACCUCGUCUCGCCUUUCAGUACCCGGGCUCCGCGCACCGCACCGCCCCUCGGGCAGAGGCCUCGCGACGAACCUCGCGCCCUCCGCCCUUUCCCGUCUCCGCGCUGGUGGCAGCGUCGGCCGUGGAUGGAUUCCCCUUUGCCCCCCCUCUGGACGGUUCCUCCCGGCUCGGUUCCCCUCGCAACCUGGUUCCUGCCGAAGUUUUGUUCUUCUGACUACUAAAGAUUGGUGUGUUCACGGUGCGCCAAGAAUGACGGAACCAGUAUCGAUCUCUCAGGGGAUAGGAAGUUUUCCUAACUGGAGAGAAAAGGAUGAAACCCAUUUCUUGUCUAACAGGCAUAGGAAGGUACUCCUUGCUCUACAACUGGCUGAGCCAACUGAGGCAAGAACCCAUCAACAGCCCUAAGCACUGACUGGCGCCAAGGGGGCCGCGCACUUGCUUACCUGCAACACAAAGGCACCACAGUCGCUGUCGUUGUUCUGCCUGGCCACAUUCUAGGGAGGAGAAAGCAAGAGAAUCCCAGAGGUCACGGAUUCAGUUCCCACCUCCUAUCCACUACCUCACUAUUCUACUUCCCUCUGGAAACUCACCAUUUUGAAGUAACCUUUCCAGCCCUGGUGGAAAUCCAGUCGGUCUUUUUUUACGGCUUCUGCCUGCAGAUACUUGGCAAUAUGCUAUGUGGGAAAGGAAAAAGAAAGCGACACCAUCAUUUACCAGCCGAAUGCAGAGUCUGACAGUCAUUCCUCAGGCUUGCUGCCCAGUGGCCAUACAUCUUUACUACUGUCUUCCCACAGCCUCCUCAAACCUUAGGG